rnacentral:rRNA from 1 species
CUACCAUGCAGUCGAGCGGUAGAGAGGUGCUUGCACCUCUUGAGAGCGGCGGACGGGUGAGUAAUGCCUAGGAAUCUGCCUGGUAGUGGGGGAUAACGCUCGGAAACGGACGCUAAUACCGCAUACGUCCUACGGGAGAAAGCAGGGGACCUUCGGGCCUUGCGCUAUCAGAUGAGCCUAGGUCGGAUUAGCUAGUUGGUGAGGUAAUGGCUCACCAAGGCGACGAUCCGUAACUGGUCUGAGAGGAUGAUCAGUCACACUGGAACUGAGACACGGUCCAGACUCCUACGGGAGGCAGCAGUGGGGAAUAUUGGACAAUGGGCGAAAGCCUGAUCCAGCCAUGCCGCGUGUGUGAAGAAGGUCUUCGGAUUGUAAAGCACUUUAAGUUGGGAGGAAGGGCAUUAACCUAAUACGUUAGUGUUUUGACGUUACCGACAGAAUAAGCACCGGCUAACUCUGUGCCAGCAGCCGCGGUAAUACAGAGGGUGCAAGCGUUAAUCGGAAUUACUGGGCGUAAAGCGCGCGUAGGUGGUUCGUUAAGUUGGAUGUGAAAUCCCCGGGCUCAACCUGGGAACUGCAUUCAAAACUGUCGAGCUAGAGUAUGGUAGAGGGUGGUGGAAUUUCCUGUGUAGCGGUGAAAUGCGUAGAUAUAGGAAGGAACACCAGUGGCGAAGGCGACCACCUGGACUGAUACUGACACUGAGGUGCGAAAGCGUGGGGAGCAAACAGGAUUAGAUACCCUGGUAGUCCACGCCGUAAACGAUGUCAACUAGCCGUUGGGAGCCUUGAGCUCUUAGUGGCGCAGCUAAC